GACGAACGCUGGCGGCGUGCUUAACACAUGCAAGUCGAACGAUGAAGCCGGAGCUUGCUCUGGUGAAUUAGUGGCGAACGGGUGAGUAACACGUGAGUAACCUGCCCUUGACUCUGGGAUAACUGCGGGAAACUGUAGCUAAUACCGGAUACGACCCUCGGAGGCAUCUCCUGGGGGUGGUAAGAAUUUCGGUCAAGGAUGGACUCGCGGCCUAUCAGCUAGUUGGUGAGGUAACGGCCCACCAAGGCGACGACGGGUAGCCGGCCUGAGAGGGUGACCGGCCACACUGGGACUGAGACACGGCCCAGACUCCUACGGGAGGCAGCAGUGGGGAAUAUUGCACAAUGGGCGCAAGCCUGAUGCAGCAACGCCGCGUGAGGGAUGACGGCCUUCGGGUUGUAAACCUCUUUUAGUAGGGAAGAAGCGAAAGUGACGGUACCUGCAGAAAAAGCACCGGCUAACUACGUGCCAGCAGCCGCAGUAA
rnacentral:rRNA from 1 species